AGCAGUCGCCGCGGGAAUACAGAGGGUGCAAGCGUUAAUCGGAAUUACUGGGCGUAAAGCGCACGCAGGCGGUCUGUCAAGUCAGAUGUGAAAUCCCCGGGCUUAACCUGGGAACUGCAUUUGAAACUGGCAGGCUAGAGUCUUGUAGAGGGGGGUAGAAUUCCAGGUGUAGCGGUGAAAUGCGUAGAGAUCUGGAGGAAUACCGGUGGCGAAGGCGGCCCCCUGGACAAAGACUGACGCUCAGGUGCGAAAGCGUGGGGAGCAAACAGGAUUAGAUACCCCUGUAGUCCCUGUCUCUUAUAC
rnacentral:rRNA from 1 species